rnacentral:rRNA from 1 species
GAUGAACGCUAGCUACAGGCUUAACACAUGCCAGUCGCGGGGCAGCAUGGGGGUUGCUUGCAAUCCCCGAUGGCGACCGGCGCACGGGUGAGUAACGCGUAUCCAACCUGCCCUUCACCACGGGAUAACCCGGCGAAAGUCGGACUAAUACCGUAUGUUGUCCAUUGACGGCAUCCGAUUUGGACGAAAGGUUUGGCGGUGAAGGAUGGGGAUGCGUCCGAUUAGCUGGACGGCGGGGUGACGGCCCACCGUGGCGACGAUCGGUAGGGGUUCUGAGAGGAAGGUCCCCCACACUGGAACUGAGACACGGUCCAGACUCCUACGGGAGGCAGCAGUGAGGAAUAUUGGGCAAUGGGCGUAAGCCUGAACCAGCCAAGUAGCGUGCAGGAGGACGGCCCUAUGGGUUGUAAACUGCUUUUAUGCGGGGAUAAAGUGGCCCACGUGUGGGUUUUUGCAGGUACCGCAUGAAUAAGGACCGGCUAAUUCCGUG